rnacentral:tRNA from 1 species
AAACUUAAGUUAUAUUCAAACUAGGGCCUUUGAAAGGCC